AAGGAAUAUUGCUCAAUGGGAGAAAUCCUGAAGCAGCAACGCCGCGUGGAGGAUGAAGGGUCUAUGACUUGUAAACUCCUGUAAAGAAGGGAAAAAUCCCCAUUAGAUGGGAGAUGAUGGUACUUCUGGAGUAAGCCCCGGCUAACUACGUGCCAGCAGCCGCGGUAAUACGGAGGGUGCAAGCGUUGUUCGGAAUUAUUGGGCGUAAAGCGCGUGUAGGCGGUCUUUUAAGUCUGAUGUGAAAGCCCCGGGCUCAACCUGGGAAGUGCAUUGGAAACUGGGAGACUUGAAUACGGGAGAGGUCAGUUGAAUUCCUAGUGUAGGAGUGAAAUCCGUAGAUAUCAGGAGGAACACCUGCGGUGUAGACAGCUUUCUGGACCAAAACUGACGCUGAGGCACGAAAGCGUGGGUAGCAA
rnacentral:rRNA from 1 species